CCUAUAUGUAGCUCAAUUAUGACUGAAAUAAGCUCCCCGGGAUGUUACCGAAAUAUAUUAUUUAUGGUAACUCAAAUUUCUUGUUUCAAAACUGUAGCUCAGUUUGAUCGUGUUGGUCCUGACUUCUGGUCUGGAGAAAGUAAACCCUGGAGAAUAUGUCGUUCUUUUUGUUGGAAUAUUUGUGGGAAUAAUCUGGCUUAUCGUUGGUUACCUUGUGGUAGGUUAAACAUGUUGAUGUUUGUGGAAAGAUGUUGAUGUUUACAGCCUUUUAGAGUUGUAUUUCGCCCUAUGAGCCAAACACAAAUACCGGCUGUGGCAUGUGAUACACACAGAUUGAAGGUAUACCGUAGGUUUUUUUGUUGAAAACCAAGGAAUUUUUGACUUACUGCAAGUUACUGUAGAUCCACCAGCUCAUCUUGCUAAUCUCGUAAUACAUUAUUAUACUUUGUUUAGCCAAAAUACGAACAGAAGACAUGGCUAUAUGUGUUCUUAAUCCUCAGUCUUCCUCAGCCAGCUUAUGUUUUGUACAAGAUUAUCCAGGUAAUGGCCAAGCUCCUUUAGCUACCAGAUAGAAUCCAUUUCUAUUUUAUAUUUGUAUUUUUCUGUUAGAAAUCUCCAAUAUAC